GGCUCCAUAGUGUAGUGGUUAGUACGUCUGUUUUACACACAUAAGGUCCUGGGUUUGGGCCUCAGGUGGAGCCA
rfam:Pteropus alecto contig35502, whole genome shotgun sequence.